rnacentral:tRNA from 1 species
GGAGGGCUGGCCGAGCGGCUUAAGGCUCCAGUCUUGAACACUGGCGAGGGUGAGAAUCCUCCAUCGGUUCGAAUCCGAUGCCCUCCU